CGCUGUGAUUGUGCUUUCAGUCUGACAGCAAAAGUGGAAAAGACCAGCAAAAAGCAAAGUCUGAUUUUCCUGUAAUAGUUGCGGUUUCUGUGGGUUUGCUCCUGCUGGCUCUGGUUAUAGCGUUAAUCUUAUUCAAACUGAAACGCAACAAACAUGGCAUCAUUUCCUCAACAGACAGAAGACAGAAAGGGGAUCAUGAAACGACUCAAGAAGACAUUCGAGACGCCAGAGACCAUUCAGAUCCUGAAUCAAAUCCUCUCUAUUCGACAGUACAGUUACCCACAAACCCCUCUGAUUCACAGAAUCCACUUUACUCCACGGUACAGUCACCCACAAUCCCCUCUGAUGGGCUCCUGUACGCUGCUGUCAGUUUCCAGAAGCAUGAAGAGUCUCUCAGUGACGCUACAGUCAGAUUCAGUAAAGAGGAGAUUCACUCUGAUUACGCAUCUGUCAAUCGCAACAUCUCGCCAAAUUAAUAUCACCACUGGAUUUUUGUUUUUAUAUACAACUUGAAUGGUGUCAGUCACUGAGAAAAAUGACUGAAUGACACAAUCAUUCAAUUUCAUCGAGCAAGUUAUUGAGCAGUCAGCGACAUCUACAGGUCAGUGUUGGGAAAAACCUGAAAUGUUUCUCUGUGACUGAAGAAAACAUCACCCCUUACCCCUUGUUUACAAUGCACACGUUUGCGGCGUGUUACGGCUCCAACAAGGUUUUGUUUCGUCCUUCACGCAGUGCUAACUCACACCAGGAGCAUUUCAGAAGCCAUGCAACUUGAUUCACGAGACCACAUGAUUUGCCUGUCCG
rnacentral:lncRNA from 1 species